CGCCCUUAGAGUUUGAUCCUGGCUCAAGACGACCUUUGGCGGCGCGCCUAACACAUGCAAGUCGAACGAGCGAGAGAGAGCUUGCUUUCUCGAGCGAGUGGCGAACGGGUGAGUAACGCGUGAGGAACCUGCCUCAAAGAGGGGGACAACAGUUGGAAACGACUGCUAAUACCGCAUAAGCCCACAGCUCGGCAUCGAGCAGAGGGAAAAGGAGCAAUCCGCUUUGAGAUGGCCUCGCGUCCGAUUAGCUAGUUGGUGAGGUAACGGCCCACCAAGGCGACGAUCGGUAGCCGGACUGAGAGGUUGAACGGCCACAUUGGGACUGAGACACGGCCCAGACUCCUACGGGAGGCAGCAGUGGGGAAUAUUGCACAAUGGGGGAAACCCUGAUGCAGCGACGCCGCGUGGAGGAAGAAGGUCUUCGGAUUGUAAACUCCUGUUGUUGAGGAAGAUAAUGACGGUACUCAACAAGGAAGUGACGGCUAACUACGUGCCAGCAGCCGCGGUAAAACGUAGGUCACAAGCGUUGUCCGGAAUUACUGGGUGUAAAGGGAGCGCAGGCGGGAAGACAAGUUGGAAGUGAAAUCCAUGGGCUCAACCCAUGAACUGCUUUCAAAACUGUUUUUCUUGAGUAGUGCAGAGGUAGGCGGAAUUCCCGGUGUAGCGGUGGAAUGCGUAGAUAUCGGGAGGAACACCAGUGGCGAAGGCGGCCUACUGGGCACCAACUGACGCUGAGGCUCGAAAGUGUGGGUAGCAAACAGGAUUAGAUACCCUGGUAGUCCACACUGUAAACG
rnacentral:rRNA from 1 species